UCGCCCGUUGGUCAAAUGGUUAAGACGCUACCCUCUCAAGGUGGAGUUAUGAGUUCAAUUCUCGUACGGGUGAUUUA
rnacentral:tRNA from 1 species